UACAGAGGUCUCAAGCGUUGUUCGGAUUCAUUGGGCGUAAAGGGUGCGUAGGCGGCGCGGUAAGUCGGGUGUGAAAUCUCGGGGCUUAACUCCGAAACUGCAUUCGAUACUGCCGUGCUUGAGGACUGGAGAGGAGACUGGAAUUUACGGUGUAGCGGUGAAAUGCGCAGAUAUCAGGAAGAACACCAAUGGCGAAAGCAGCUCUCUGGGACGGUACUGACGCUGAAACGCGAAAGCGUGGGGAGCGAACAGG
rnacentral:rRNA from 1 species